AAAUUGAAGAGUUUGAUCAUGGCUCAGAUUGAACGCUGGCGGCAGGCCUAACACAUGCAAGUCGAACGGUAACAGGAAGCAGCUUGCUGCUUCGCUGACGAGUGGCGGACGGGUGAGUAAUGUCUGGGAAACUGCCUGAUGGAGGGGGAUAACUACUGGAAACGGUGGCUAAUACCGCAUAACGUCGCAA
rnacentral:rRNA from 9 species